GACCUGGUGGUUUAGGGGUAACACAACUGUUCUGUAUUCAAGGGAUGCUCUGAUAUUUGAGUAGGAGUACCUUGUUUGACUCAAGGCCAGGCCA